GGCUCUGUGGCGCAAUGGAUAGCGCGUUGGACUUCUAGUUGAAUACGGGAGAAGUGAUUCAAAGGUUGUGGGUUCGAGUCCCACCAGAGUCG
rfam:Larimichthys crocea isolate SSNF unplaced genomic scaffold scaffold601, whole genome shotgun sequence.